AUGAGCGAAAGCUGGAUGCAGCACGCCGCGUGGGUGAUGAAGGCCUUCGGGUUGUAAAGCUCUGUCUUCUGGGACGAUAAUGACGGUACCAGAGGAGGAAGCCACGGCUAACUACGUGCCAGCAGCCGCGGUAAUACGUAGGUGGCAAGCGUUGUCCGGAUUUACUGGGCGUAAAGGAUGCGUAGGCGGAUACUUAAGUCAGAUGUGAAAUUCCCGGGCUUAACUUGGGAACUGCAUUUGAAACUGGGUAUCUAGAGUGUGGGAGAGGAAAGUGGAAUUCCUAGUGUAGCGGUGAAAUGCGUAGAGAUUAGGAAGAACACCAGUGGCGAAGGCGACUUUCUGGACCAUAACUGACGCUGAGGCAUGAAGGCGUGGGGAGCAAACAGGAUUAGAUACCCUGGUAGUCCACGCCGUAGACGAUGAAUACUAGGUGUGGGGGUUAUCAUGACCUCCGUGCCGCAGUUAACACAAUAAGUAUUCCGCCUGGGGAGUACGG
rnacentral:rRNA from 1 species